rnacentral:lncRNA from 1 species
CCUGUAUCAACAAAACAAAACACAACACCAACCUAAAAAGAAUGAAGCUGCUCUGGUAGAAGGGGCCUCACCCUGAGAGAUCGCUUAUGAACAUCUGGAGCUAAGAAGGUAUUUCAAGUACGAGAACUGUCAAUGGUGCUUUGGGGUCAUGUGAGAAAGGAAUAGAGACUAGUGUUUGCCAAGGUGGAGGGCACUGGUGACCUGCGUGGAGGUGUUGAUGGAAGGGGGUGGUGAUGAGGCUGAGUUAAAUAAUUAAAAGGAAUGGGUAUUUUUGGCCAGGCGCAGUGACUCA